CAUGGGUCAAAGAGCCCCUGGCAUGAAGCACCAAGGGUGUGAUUCUUGCCUCUAUUAGUUAAGUCUUUUGCUUUAAGGUAAUAGUGUUAGGUGUGUUCCUCCCAUUUUCCCUUAGGGAACCAUAAAUAUCACUUUCAAUUCUUCUUAGCUUACCCUUAAUUGAAGAAGAAAGAAAACUAACUUUACUGGAAAGAGGGCUGAAUGAAUGUAUUCUAUAAAUAUCUUCAGAAGACUCUACUCAGGGCUUCCUCCCAUGCUCCCCUGUCAUUUCUGCUGCCUCUUCUACUGUUGCACAUCCAAACAGAACUUUUGGAAACUACGUUCUGGAAAAGGUAAGCCAUUCAGAUUUGCACCCAUAGACCUGGCUUCAUGCUUAGUGAGAGGCCACUAUAUCAAGCUAUCUCCACAUCCCUUAUCAUGCUUGUCUCCAAUCAGCUUCUUUCCAUGCCUCCAUGUGGGCAUGACCUCU
rnacentral:lncRNA from 1 species